rnacentral:ncRNA from 1 species
UUUGCUAUUUGCCUUUGGUAGUGAGUUGCUUAGACCUUUGGUUAUACAUGAAAUUGGAAGAGCAGAGGGAGUACCCUGGGAAAUUGUCUGACAAAUUUCAAUAGUUUGGAAGUGGUUAUAAAAUCUGGGAAUUCAAUGAAGCUUGAUGUUUAGCUUAAAAUGGAUGGUUGUGACCCCGUCUUCAGUAUUUAAAAUUGCAGUUAUUAUGGGAACAUGGACUCAGUAAUAGGUCGUUAGGAGGGAUUAAUAAGGUGCCAGCAUUCGCGGUUAAACCUUGUCUUCGAGGCAAUUAGUUUGUAGGAAAGUGAGUGAGAAAAAUAAGAUAAAAACCAACCGAGUUAAUUUUAGGGGAAGAGUGGUUAAAUAUUUUUGAUUAGGUUAAUUUAAGUUCUUUUAAACUAAAAUCUUAGAAGGCUGUUAAUGAGACAAGGAUUCGAUACCCUUUUAUCAAAGCUGUCUUGUUUAUAUCCUGCGAGAAUUACGAGCUAUAAGCUUAAAACUCUAAAAGGUUGGCGGCAUCUUAUAACCAGUUAGGGGAACUUGGCGUUUAAACCGAUGAUCCUCGUUGUACUUUACCUUUACUUAGUCUUUCAUACCGCCGUUGACAGUUCCUCUUGGAGAGAGUAGAUUGGUGCGUUAAACAAUACCGAUUUAGUUUGUUGAUAAACUAUCGACCUGGAGUAGGCGUUCUGUUUGAGCCAGGGUUUGUUGUAAUUCAGGUAGACGUGAAGAAAUGUAAAGGGAUUAGCUGAGUUACAUUUGUUUUACAUGAUGAAGGUGGCUAGAAUAGCUUGCUGAAAGUGUACUUGUUAGUAAUCUUUUUUAAAAAAGGAAAGUUGAAUUGGGUAAUUAAGCUGCGUACAAACCGCCCGGCACCCUCAAGUAGGGUUGAGGUAAGUCGUAACAUGGUAAUGCUACUAGAAAGUGGUGUU